rnacentral:rRNA from 1 species
AUUUCUUUAUUAAUUUUUAAUAAAUAAUUUAUAUUAAAUAUAAAAAUAUAUUUAUAAAAAAAAAAGACGACAAGACCCUAUUAAAUUUUACUUAUAGUUUAGCUGGGGAAGCUUUUCAAUUAAAAUUUUUUAAAUUAAAUAAAUAAAAAUCUAAUAAAAUUAAAAUUUUAAUAAAUUACUAUAGGGAUAACAGCAUUAUAUUUUUUUAAAGUUCAUAUUAAAAAAAAUGAUUGUGACCUCGAUGUUGAAUUAUAUUUUCUAUAUUUAAUGCAAUAAUUAUAAAAGUAGAUCUGUUCGAUCUUUAAAAUAUUACAUGAUUUGAGUUCAAACCGGKGUAAACCAGGUUGGUUUUUAUCUUUUUAUAUAUUUUUCUAGUACGAAAGGACAAAAAAAUUUUUAUUUUAAUAAAUUAGCAAAUAAAUGCAUUAGAUUUAGAAUCUAAUUAUAUUUAAUAAUUUUUUUUAUUAAUCCYUUAUUAUCUAUUAUUAUACUUUUAAUUUCAGGAGCAUUUUAUACAAUUUUAGAACGAAAAAUUUUAAGAUAUAUUCAAAUUCGAAAAGGACCAAAUAAAGUAGGAUUUUUAGGAAUUUUACAACCUUUUAGUGAUGCUAUUAAAUUAUUUAAUAAAAAUUUAAUUUCAUCUGAAAGAAUAAAUUUUAUAUUAUCAUAUUCAAUACCAGCAUUAUCUUUAAUUUUAAGAAUAAUAAUUGUAUUUAUAUUGCCAAUAUAUUUUUAUUCUUCAUUUGAUAAUAAAAAUAAUAUU